UGGGGAAUAUUGGACAAUGGGCGAAAGCCUGAUCCAGCCAUGCCGCGUGUGUGAAGAAGGUCUUCGGAUUGUAAAGCACUUUAAGCUGGGAGGAAGGGCAGUAAGCGAAUACCUUGCUGUUUUGACGUUACCGACAGAAUAAGCACCGGCUAACUCUGUGCCAGCAGCCGCGGUAAUACAGAGGGUGCAAGCGUUAAUCGGAAUUACUGGGCGUAAAGCGCGCGUAGGUGGUUCGUUAAGUUGAAUGUGAAAGCCCCGGGCUCAACCUGGGAACUGCAUCCAAAACUGGCGAGCUAGAGUAGGGCAGAGGGUGGUGGAAUUUCCUGUGUAGCGGUGAAAUGCGUAGAUAUAGGAAGGAACACCUGUGGCGAAGGCGACCACCUGGGCUCAUACUGACACUGAGGUGCGAAAGCGUGGGGAGCAAACAGG
rnacentral:rRNA from 1 species